rnacentral:rRNA from 1 species
CCUACGGGUGGCAGCAGUGGGGGAUAUUGCACAAUGGGGGGAACCCUGAUGCAGCGACGCCGCGUGGGUGAAGAAGCGCCUCGGCGCGUAAAGCCCUGUCAGCAGGGAAGAAAAUGACGGUACCUGAAGAAGAAGCCCCGGCUAACUACGUGCCAGCAGCGGCGGUAAUACGUAGGGGGCAAGCGUUAUCCGGAAUUACUGGGUGUAAAGGGGGCGGAGACGGGGAUGCAAGCCAGGAGUGAAAGCCGGGGGCCCAACCCCGGGACUGCUCUUGGAACUGCGUGGCUGGAGUGCAGGAGGGGCAGGCGGAAUGCCUGGUGUAGCGGUGAAAUGCGUAGAUAUCAGGAGGAACACCGGUGGCGAAGGCAGCCUGCUGGACUGCAACUGACGUUGAGGCCCGAAAGCGUGGGGAGCAAACAGGAUUAGAUACCCCAGUAGUC